rnacentral:rRNA from 1 species
UACGUAGGGCGCAAGCGUUGUCCGGAAUUAUUGGGCGUAAAGAGCUCGUAGGCGGCUUGUCACGUCGAUUGUGAAAGCCCGAGGCUUAACCUCGGGUCUGCAGUCGAUACGGGCUAGCUAGAGUGUGGUAGGGGAGAUCGGAAUUCCUGGUGUAGCGGUGAAAUGCGCAGAUAUCAGGAGGAACACCGGUGGCGAAGGCGGAUCUGUGGGCCAUUACUGACGCUGAGGAGCGAAAGCGUGGGGAGCGAACAGG